UCCAAAUCCAACUCGCAUAGGCGGAUGCUUUCAAUUCUCUUUCUCUCUCUCACUGCAUCGACGAACUCGCAUAGCUCGACCAGAUUAUCUAACCAAUUAAUAAACGAUCAACAACUUCCGAAAAUCAAGUUUCUGGCAGUGGAAUCAGUAGAGGAAAAAUGGCGACUUGCGAGCUGUACAGGAUAUCGACGAUCGGGGUGUGCUUGACGGAAAUUCUAGAUCAGAUGGUUUCUAGUGGUGUGCUGAGCCCGGAACUCGCCAUUCAAGUUCUUCUUCAAUUCGAAAAGCUUCUUAUUUACGCGUGAUUAAUGUUCCCGUUUCUGUUAACUAUGAUUUGCCCUAAUUGAUUUGGGGAAAACGGUGAUUCUACUGGAGAAAACUACAAAUGGUAUUGGAUGGAAACUAGUGAUUUAUGAACUUCAGAAAUAUUCAAGAAUAGGCUUCAAGGUUUAUGGUUAAUGUAUUUGGUAAAAUUUUGCUCCUUCCUCUAUGAUGGGGACAAUUGACAUCUAUCAUCAGAUGUUAGGGAAUCUAAAAAUAUGUGUUUGGAUGCAUCCAAUAUGCUUCCUGCAAUUGCUUGCUAUUGACUAAUACUAUCUUUUGCAAUUUUGCUCGCAUGAUUGCAGUCAAUGACAGAUGCUCUGGAAAAUGAGGUGAAGAGCAAGGUCUCCAUUAAGGGGCAUCUUCACACCUACAAUUUCUGUGACAACGUCUGGAACUUCACCCUACAAAAUGCUCAGAUCAAAAGUGAGGAAGGCCAGGAAACCGUCGAAUGUGUCAAGAUAGUCGCGUGUGAUUCUAAGCUGCUGACUCAGUGAAAGGAGGGAAGGAUAGAACACAUAAUCUCUUCAUUCAUAUUUAUGAGAGAUAGGGUCGCGUUAUAAUAAUAACUAAUUUCUAAUACAAAAUGCAUAAUUUUUAAAUUUUCUAUAUUAAUAUUAUCAACUCAAAUACAUGAAUAUUUUAAUUUACUUGUUGUGUUGAUAAAGUUAUGUUUUCGUAUUGAUGAUUUUAAUAUAUAGAAUUGAAAGUUACUA